GCAAUCCCCCCGCCUCGGCCUCCCAGAGUGCUAGGAUUACAGGCGUGAGCCACCGCGCCCAGCCUGACAAGUUGAUUAUAACUUCUAUGAAAAUGGAAAGGGACAAGAAUAGCCAAGACUCCCCUAAGAGGAAAUUCUCUCCUACCAGAUAUCAAAACUGCAUACAAACGUGAGAGUGAUUCAGAUAGUGCAGUACUCCUGCAAGCAGAGACAGACAGACAAAUAACAUGACACAGAGCCCAGAAACAGAGUCACACGUGUGUGGACACUUUAAGACAAAAGUAGCAGGUCAGAACAGUGGGGACAGGACUGUCUUUUCAGUAAGUUGCUGCUGGGUCUAUUGGAUACCCAUUUGGAAAAUAAAUUAGGCUGCAUUCCUACUUCCCACAACACUCAAAAAUCAAUUUCAGGUGAAACGUAGAUGUAAAUCUGAAAGCGUAAUAAACAAGAAAUAAAAAUAAAAAGAAUUUUACAGAUGUGAUUACAUUAAAGAUUCUGAGAUGGGGAGAUUAUCCUGUAUAAACACAAACAGAAGAGCUAAAAAAGAAAGAGGUCCAGGCAAAGAAAUCAGGGAGAGCUUCCUGGAAGAGGUGCCAUUAGAGGCAGAAAAGGUGAGUUGGCAGGAGCUGAGGGACGGUUGGUGGAGCCAGGCUUUGAGAGCCAGUUGAGCUGGCAGGGCAGACCCCGGGGAAAGCCUGGUUUUCAGUCUCUUAGUCAGUGGUGCCAGGGUAAAAGUUAAACAAUAAGCCCUUGUGGAGUAGGCCAGGAAGCCUGAUUUGCAGCGCUUGCCAAUUUCUAUGAUGUCAAUUCUCCCAGCAUGCCUGGUUUCCAGCUACCAAUGUGACGUCACAGAAUGCAAAGUUGGCAAGGGUGCACGGAGCCUCCCUGCUACACGGAAGCUAUUUCCAUUCUACGGAGACAAUAGAUAGUAUCAACAACCUCGAGAGCAUUGAGAGUAGUAAGCUGUAGUAAGAUAAUUCAGAAGCGAUGAAUUUUGAGUAGAUAACUUUGUUUUUUGUUUUUAUACUGCAGCACUUUUAUUUUUCCUUACACAAUGACGUGUUGCUGGGGCCUAAUGUCUUCACAUGACAUUAGAAAAUCAAAAUCUCAUCUCUUAAAGAAUUGAGAAUUGCAUACAAAAACCUUACAUAAGCUAAAAGGAUGAAUACAUGUACAGGGCUUAUUCCAGUGCGGUGAGGCUAGCAGGAGGUGUGGACAUUUGCCAGAGCAGAUCGAUACUUCUGAAUCGACUCAGAAGCGUUUGCGGUGGACAGCGGGGGGCCCGGCUCGCCAGGCUCCCGCUUGCUGACCCCCGUCUGCUGGGAGGUGGACGGCCAGGCCGGGACGGAGCCCCCGACCCGCAGCCAGCACUUGUGCGAUGACCUUGAUCUCCACGGUGCUGGGCGCCAGGGCGGUGAGCCCCUUCUGCCUCCUGUCAGCGAUGCCUGGGGACACGCCGGCGCCCCCAGACACCCCGUGUUGGCGUGGAGACCCUUGCAGAGGUCCACGCCACACUUCACGGCGGAGCUGAAUGUCCUCUCGUGGAUGCCGCAGGUCCCCAUAAGCGGGAAGGACACUGGAACCCCCCGUUGCUGAGCCACUCGUCGCCUGCCUGGCCGUCGGGCAGCUCGCGGCUCUUCUCCAGGGAGGAAGAGGACGCGGCAGCGGCCGCAUCCUGCUGCAGGUCCAGGGCGACACAGCACAGCUUGCCCUUGAUGGCAUGCAGGAUCUCUCGCUUGGCCGCGGUGGCGAAGCUGUCGCCGCGCUCCGUGAGGACCUUCACGAGGUCCCGCCAGCCAGGGCCAGAAGCAGGACGGCGUGGCAGAGAGUGGGCACCGUGUGGGUGACCCCGUCUCCGGAGUCCGUGGUGAUGCCAGUGGAGCAACCAGAGGCGUGCAGGGACUGGACAGCCACACACGGCCGGGGUGUCGAAGGUCUCGGACGUGAUCUGGGGCAUCUUCCCCUGUUGGCCUUGGGGUUCGAGGGGCCUCGGUCAGCCGCACCGGGUGCUCCCCGGGGGCCGCUGUGGACAGUGUGGUGGCAGACCUCGUCCAUGUCAUCCUGGUUGGUGAGGACGCCAUGCUCGAUGGGGAACUUCAGGGUCAGGGUGCCACGCUUGCUCUGGGCCUGGUCGCCCACGUGCGAGUCCCCUGGCCCGUGCCCGCCAUCACGCCCUGGUGCCGGGGCGGCCGCCCAUGGAGGGGAGCACGGCUUGGGGGGCGUCAUCCCCAGCAAAGCCAGCGGUGCGCAUGCCGGAGCCAUCGUCAGUGACGAGCGCGGGGAUGUCCUUUUCCCUGGCGAUCCUCGGAGGGGCGGAGCACCGGCCGGCUGGCGACGGCCAGUGAGACUGUAACUUUUUGUUUAUAAUGUCACUUAUUCCAUUGUAAUUUAUAGAAUUUAAUUUUUAAGAAUAGCUGCGUUUAAUAAUUGGAUCACAAAGUUCCCAAAAAUGUAAAAAUUGACUCCCACGAGCAGACCAGCUUCCUCCAGCGCUCCUUGAAACCGCCUCGGGGAACUUUCGGAGCUCCAAGGAAGCGGAUUUAUUUAUUAGCCAGUUCUUGCUGCUGAGCACUUGGCUAAUACCGAGCCAGUGUUGUCCUAAGGAUUUGAUACUUUGUUCAUUGCGGAUCUUUUGCAUUAAUUUUGAUUAUUUUGUUGUAAUAAAAUUUACCUUUUUCACCA